GCUGGAGAGGAGCAGAGAAAACCCCGGUCAGGAGCUGCUGGUGGGGAGCACCAGGAUCUGGGAACACUCAGCUUGCCCUGUGUUUCUGCUCCAUCUGCUGGAAUGACUCCCUCCCCACCGGGGAUGAGUCAGAAGAUCCAAAGGACCUGCCAGGAGAGGAGACACCACGUCUUCCAGAAGAGAAACCCCACAAGAAAACCUUGAGGGAUCAGCCCAACCCCAACCCCAACCCUGGGCCUGGUGGAGCAGAACAGAACCAGAACCUCCCUCACUGUUGACUUGGUGAUAGCCAUAAAAAUCUCCUGGUUUUCUUCAAGCACCUCAUCCCUGAGGGCUGGCUUUGUCACUUCUGUCCCCAGCACCUCCAGGGGAAGCUUCAAACCUGGGGAACCUCCAGAGGUGCCAGGAGCAGCACACACCGUGCUCAGGGCUGCUCCAUCUUCAGCCCCCAGGUUUCUCACCCUCCUUAAGGCUCAGCCCUCGUCCUUCCCCCUCCUCACCUGAGCCAGGGGAAGGGUUUUUCUUCUCGUCCCCUUCCUCCUCCUCAGAUCCUGAGGAGAUGGUCUGGAUGUCAUCACUGUCAUUGGUGGUGCCCUGGGCCUGUCCUGCUGCCGCCUGCCCGGCCUCCCCCUCGCUGUCAGUGCUGCUGGAGAGGGUCAGCACAUCCUGAGGAGAGCUCAGGCUUCUCCCUCUCCCCGAGCUCCAUUUUGGUGCCUUUGGCUUCGCCUCCUUCGCUCGUCUUGAAGGAGGAGCUGCUGUCGUUGUCCUGGAAGCCCUCAGCCACGGUGUUGGAGCUCAGCCACGAGGCCACCUUGUUCUUGGAGGUCUCCUCUGACACGGGCAGCUUGCAGGAGGUGGCCACCCCCGUUUCCUCCUGGCCCAGGUGCCUGGUGAGCCCCGAGUCCUUGGAGGCCGUUUCCAGAAGUUGUCAUCAGAGCUGUCCUCGUUGGACUCCUCCUGCUCCUCCGUGCCCGUGUGCUCCUCCUCCUCAUCCUUCAGGUCCACCCCGCUGCUGUCAGAGGAGCACUUGGCGUCGCUCUCGUAGCCUUCCUUGAAGUUCUCCACGCUCUCGAUGUGAUCCAGGAUCACCCAAACCCAACCCUGGACAAACAGGAUGGGCACCACUUUAUCCCAAAGCCAGGAUCACCUCCUAACUGGGGGGGAAGGAAAACCUGGAGCACGUGGCUGACCUACAGCUGAGCCUCAUGGAGAUCCAAGCUCCACAAGUUGCUCCAGGAGAAGGUUGAGAUUGGAGAUUGGGAGAAACUUCAUCAGUGGAAAGAUGCAGACAAAGGAGCCCUUGGCGAUGUCAUCGAG